ensembl:snoRNA small nucleolar RNA SNORA40
UUAUUUAAGAGAUCUAAUCCUCUUUUGAGACCCAGAACACAUUGUUCAGUAUGAGUUUUGAUACAGAUAAGAAGGAACAUG